AGAGUUUGAUCCUGGCUCAGAUUGAACGCUGGCGGCAGGCCUAACACAUGCAAGUCGAGCGGAUGACGGGAGCUUGCUCCUUGAUUCAGCGGCGGACGGGUGAGUAAUGCCUAGGAAUCUGCCUGGUAGUGGGGGACAACGUUUCGAAAGGAACGCUAAUACCGCAUACGUCCUACGGGAGAAAGCAGGGGACCUUCGGGCCUUGCGCUAUCAGAUGAGCCUAGGUCGGAUUAGCUUGUUGGUGAGGUAAUGGCUCACCAAGGCGACGAUCCGUAACUGGUCUGAGAGGAUGAUCAGUCCCACUGGAACUGAGACACGGUCCAGACUCCUACGGGAGGCUGCAAGGGCGUCUUUUUCCAGAGAUCCAUCUCUCUGCCGGCCUCUCGAUCCACCUUCUCGUCGUGUGUACAUGUACAGCACUAGUAGUGGCCAUCGAUUACCGGAUUCA
rnacentral:rRNA from 1 species